rnacentral:rRNA from 1 species
ACGCACGCUGGCGGCGUGCUUCACACCUGCCAGUCGGACGGAAAGGCCCUGCUUUUGGGGGGUGCUCGAGGGGCGAACGGGGGAGUAACACGUGAGUAACCUGCCCUUGACUUUGGGAUAACUUCAGGAAACGGGGGCUAAUACCGGAUAGGAGCUCCUGCUGCAUGGGGGGGGUUGGAAAGUUUCGGCGGUUGGGGAUGGACUCGCGGCUUAUCAGCUUGUUGGUGGGGUAGUGGCUUACCAAGGCUUUGACGGGUAGCCGGCCUGAGAGGGUGACCGGCCACAUUGGGCCUGCGAUACGGCCCAGACUCCUACGUGAGGCAGCAGUGGGGAAUAUUGCACAAUGGGCGGAAGCCUGAUGCAGCAACGCCGCGUGCGGGACGACGGCCUUCGGGUUGUAAACCGCUUUCGCCUGUGACGAAGCGUGAGUGACGGUAAUGGGUAAAGAAGCACCGGCUAACUACGUG